rnacentral:rRNA from 1 species
CUUAGUACGAGAGGACCGGGAUGGACGCACCGCUGGUGUACCAGUUGUUCUGCCAAGGGCAUCGCUGGGUAGCUAUGUGCGGACGGGAUAAGUGCUGAAAGCAUCUAAGCAUGAAGCCCCCCUCAAGAUGAGAUUUCCCAUUCCGCAAGGAAGUAAGAUCCCUGAAAGAUGAUCAGGUUGAUAGGUCUGAGGUGGAAGUGUGGCGACACAUGGAGCUGACAGAUACUAAUCGAUCGAGGACUUAACCAYAUUU